GACGUAGGGCGCGAGCGUUGUCCGGAUUUAUUGGGCGUAAAGAGCUCGUAGGCGGCUCGUCGCGUCGGUGGUGAAAUUCCGCAGCUUAACUGUGGGCUUGCCGCCGAUACGGGCGGGCUGGAGUUCGGUAGGGGAGACUGGAAUUCCUGGUGUAGCGGUGAAAUGCGCAGAUAUCAGGAGGAACACCGGUGGCGAAGGCGGGUCUCUGGGCCGAUACUGACGCUGAGACGCGAAAGCGUGGGGAGCGAACAGG
rnacentral:rRNA from 1 species